CUUAGAAAUAUCUCUGAAAGAACUCCCUUGUCUACAGACUGGGGGGAGGUAUUUUCCCUGCUGAGCUGGAGCAGUGUCCACACUCCUGCUCCCAAGGGGGAGCUGCAGGGAGAGCUGUCCCAGCAGCUGGGAUGCCUCAUGGCCAGGGCCAGCAGGAUUAAUGCUCCUCCCUGGAUCCAGUGACAGGAUUUGCCACGCUGGGGUGUAUCAGCUUCAUCAGGGGAAUGGGGGAGCCCAGAGACCAGUUCAUGCACAGAGGCCAAAGGGAAUAAAUAACCCCCCCAAAAAGUGAUGUACAACAGGGAUGAAUUCAUCUGCCUGUGGGAGAAAUGGUGAUUUUCUCUUUAUUGUGCUGCAGGUAAACUGAGAAGGACAACACCCGACAGGAAGGAUGCUGAGCACAAGCAGGAGGGCUUUUCUUUAAAAAAAAAAAAAAAAAAAAAAAAAAAAAAAAAAAAAAAAAAAAAAAAAAAAAAAAAAAAAAAAAAGGAAAAAAGGAAAGGAAAAAGGGAGUGAGAGGCUGAUUCCCACAGGGAAUGUGCUCCUCAUUCCUCCAGAGCUGGCAGUGCCUCCCUGCACAGGGCUGGCAUAGAAACCAUGGUCAAGGAGGAGCAGAGGAUGUUCCCUGUCCCCCAGACCGUGGCCUUUAACUCCACCCUCACUCCUGGAACAUUCCUGAUGCUUCCCAGCACCCAGAGGCUGCUGCAGGAUAAAUGGGAGAUGCUGGGAAUCAGAGGGAGCUCUGGAAAGUUGCUCUGCAAUCUGAGCUGAGC
rnacentral:lncRNA from 12 species